ACCUCCUCCCUGGCUCCCGGCGCCGCCCGGCCCCAUCUCCUCCCCGAUCCCGGCGCCGCCCGCCCCCAUCUCCUCCCUCACUCCCGGUGCCGACCCCGCCCCCACCUUCUCCCUCACUCCAUAGCCCGCGCCCGCGUUCUUCCUCCCCCAUCUCGUCUCAUCUCCGGUCGCUGCAGAGCAGCCCCGUUUCGCACCGCCACCAUGGUUGGCCUGCAGCGAGCAGCAGAGGACCUAGCCGCCGCGUCCGACCUCAACCGCCGCCCGAAACCCUAGCCCCUCCUUCCAACGGCAGGUCAAGCCAGCAGGAUCCCCUCCAAGAACAGCAUUUGAUGUGCCCGACUCAUCUCUGCUUGUGCACAACAAGGAAGGCCAUGGAGACGCUGCUCCCUAUGUUCAGCGCGUGGACGAACGAUGCAGCGUUGGGGAUGACUCAUGGCUGCCUCCGUUUGUGCAGAUUGGGUACUCUGGAGCACAUGGGAGGAGGAGAAGGAUGGGAGGUGUGUAGAAUUCGGCGCCAAGGGAGACGAUCGAGAUGGUGGAGCAGAAUCCAGAGGACGACGGGAGACCAGGUAGAGGAGAGACAACACCCGGAUAUCGGGCAGUGAAUGCACACAAUGCAAGGAUACUUUAAACAAAUACAAGUAUCAUCCAUAUGAAGGUCAUCGGGCGUUUGGAAGAGAAGAAUGAUGCAUAUAUCAUCUCAGUUCAGAUGCUCUUGUUUAGUGGGACGCUAUGCAGUUUUUUGGUGAAUGGUGCCGCUGCUGCAGCUCAUUGGUUCUAGCCCGACAUUCAGCUCUGAAUGGACGUGUGUCAGGGACAGGAUGAUCACCAUCCAGGUUUUCACACGGUAUUUUCUCUUUCUAAUCUACUGUAGAGAUUAUUAGCAGCCGCAUGUGGAAAGGUUUGGCAAUUCAAAGUACUUCAAGAAACUGUUAUCAUUGAAGCCUGCUUGGAAAUUAUAUAGAAGUGUAAUUUGUAGUGGAGUUAUCAGUUCUCCGUUGAUAAAUGUACAAUGUGAAGGCAAAUAAUCUUUUUGUAUGUUUAUGUUACAUUACAACUAUCAAAACG